rnacentral:rRNA from 1 species
UGGGGAAUUUUGCGCAAUGGGCGAAAGCCUGACGCAGCAACGCCGCGUGAGUGAUGAAGGCUUUCGGGUCGUAAAGCUCUGUCAGAGGGAAAGAAAUGUAUUGUGGUUAAUACCCAUGAUACUUGACGGUACCCUCAAAGGAAGCACCGGCUAACUCCGUGCCAGCAGCCGCGGUAAUACGGGGGGUGCAAGCGGUGUUCGGAAUUAUUGGGCGUAAAGCGCGUGUAGGCGGUUUGUUAAGUCUGAUGUGAAAGCCCCGGGCUCAACCUUGGAAGUGCGUUGGAAACUGGCAGACUUGAAUACGGGAGAGGGUAGUGGAAUUCCUGGUGUAGGAGUGAAAUCCGUAGAUAUCAGGAGGAACACCGGUGGCGAAGGCGGCUGCCUGGACCGAUAUUGACGCUGAGACGCGAAAGCGUGGGUAGCAAACA